rnacentral:lncRNA from 1 species
AAGUGUAUCAUGGCUCUAUAGGAUUUGAGAUUUGAAGUCAGCAAACAUGCUCUCCAUCUUAUCCAUGAUCUGAUCGAUAAUCUCCUUUGCAGAAAAGGUGUGGGUCAUAGCUGGUGUGUGAGGAGAGACUGAUGAUCUUGGAUGAUGCUCUCCAACUAUAGACCCCGGAGUCGAUGUAGGUGUAGGGGAUGACAAUCCUAUUGCAGGUACAGGAGAGGAUGGCUCUACAGAAUCUGAGGGUG